rnacentral:rRNA from 1 species
AUGGCCGAGGCCAAGCGCAUGCACGAGCAGACCACCGGGUGCCUCCCCGUCGACCAGUCCUGCUUCGCGCUCUCCCGGCUGUCCAACGCGUACCGCCCCACCCGCAACAACGACCCGGCCUGCUGCUCCACAACGUCCUACCUUGAGGUCCUCGGCAUCUCAUUCGCGACGCUGCUCAUCAUCCUCUUCGUGCUCUGCAUGAUACGGUGCUACCUCAUGCGGCGGGCCGUGAACCGGGUCACGGUGGGGGCCGCAACGUCGACAGGCGCGGGGGCGCCCGUGGUGGUCAAGAAGCGGCCCACCGGCCUCAGCGACGACGCCAUCGCCGCGCUGCCCAAGUUCGAGUACCGACACACGGCCGACGAGAGUGAUCGGUGGGAGUGCUCGAUAUGCCUCUGCACCAUGGCCGACGGCGAGGUGGCCAGGCAACUACCUAGAUGCACGCACCUCUUCCACAGGGCGUGCGUCGACAUGUGGCUCACGGCGCACACCACAUGUCCGGUGUGCCGAGCCGAGGUGGUCAAGCCGACGGACAACGACGACAGCUGCGCCAAGACGCCGGCGGCCGAGGCCGGCCCGUCGGGGCCGGCUAGGUUGGAGGAUGGCCAGAGGGAUUUGGAGGCGCAGUUAUAG